rnacentral:tRNA from 1 species
GCCGGGAUGGCCGAGCGGACUAAGGCGCAGGCCUGGAGAGCCUGUGGGCCUUCCGGGCCCUCGUGGGUUCAAAUCCCACUCCCGGCG